GGUUUCCUGUUUAUUUAGGAGAUUUAACCUGCCCACUGAUUUAUAUUUAAAGGGCCGCGGUAUAAUGACUGUGCGAAGGUAGCAUAAUCAUUAGUUUUUUAAUUGAGGGCUUGUAUGAAUGGUUGGACGAAGUAAAAGCUGUUUUAUAUUAAUUGAUCAUUUGAAUUUUGAUUUUAAGUAAAAAUACUUAACUUUUGUUAAGGGACGAGAAGACCCUAUAGAGUUUAAUUAAUUAUUAAUUAAUUAUUUUGGUUUUAAAUUAAUUCAUAUUUUUGAUAAUAAUUUAUUUGGUUGGGGUGACUAAAAGAUAAAAUUAACUCUUUUUUUAUUUAGAUAAUUUUAUUUAGAUUGAAGAUCCAUAAAUUUAUGAUUUUAAGAUUAAAUUACCUUAGGGAUAACAGCAUAAUUAUUUUUGAGAGUUCUCAUCGAGAAAGUAGAUUGUGACCUCGAUGUUGGAUUAAGAUUAUUAAAUUAGGUGUAGAAGCUUUUUUAAUAGGUCUGUUCGACCUUUAAAAUCUUACA
rnacentral:rRNA from 1 species